rnacentral:rRNA from 1 species
UACGAAGGGUGCAAGCGUUAAUCGGAAUUACUGGGCGUAAAGCGUGCGUAGGCGGUUUGUUAAGUCUGUUGUGAAAGCCCUGGGCUCAACCUGGGAAUGGCAAUGGAAACUGGCGAGCUAGAGUAUGGUAGAGGGUGGUGGAAUUUCCUGUGUAGCGGUGAAAUGCGUAGAUAUAGGAAGGAACACCAGUGGCGAAGGCGACCACCUGGACUGAUACUGACACUGAGGUGCGAAAGCGUGGGGAGCAAACAGG